ACGUAGGUGGCGAGCGUUAUCCGGAUUUACUGGGCGUAAAGAGCGCGCAGGCGGUCGUGCAAGUCGGAUGUGAAAGCCCCCGGCUCAACUGGGGAAGGUCAUUCGAUACUGCUCGACUUGAAGGCGGGAGAGGGAAGCGGAAUUCCCGGUGUAGUGGUGAAAUGCGUAGAUAUCGGGAGGAACACCAGUGGCGAAGGCGGCUUCCUGGCCCGUUCUUGACGCUGAGGCGCGAAAGCUAGGGGAGCAAACGGGAUUAGAUACCCCGGUAGUCCUAGCCGUAAACGAUGGACACUAGGUGUUGGUGGUAUCAACCCCGCCAGUGCCGAAGCUAACGCAUUAAGUGUCCCGCCUGGGGAGUACGGCCGCAAGGCUA
rnacentral:rRNA from 1 species